GUCAAUGAUCUUUCCUGUUAUUCUUUACUCUAUGGUCGAUAUGACAACUAUUCUAACCUGACUAGUAGUAAAUUUUAAUGAUAAAUAUCUUGUUUUGCAAGAAAGGGCGACAUUUUUCUUUAUCAUAUUCUUGCGUUUCGUGCAAAAAUGCAUUGAAGAAGUAUGAUUUUAUAUUAUAUCGAUAUUGGAGAUGAACAGGAACAUUAUUAAUGACAUAUAGUUUACGAUGUCAUUAUCAUUGGAUGCAAUUGCAUGUAGUGUAGCAGAAACUGUUAUUAACACAAAUAUUCUAAAGAAGAUAGAGGAUGAUCUAGAAAUAGAUGAGAAAAUUUCAAUAUUAUUUUUAAUAAUAGACAAUUAUGCAAAUGGAUUUAAUGAUAUUUUUAAACUUCUUCAAACAAAGACAGAAAAUGCUUACAUAAUUACGGAUUAUGUAAGACACCAUCCAGAAAAUUGGAAAGAGAAAAUCUUGGAAGCAAUAUGUAUUUUGAACAACCGAGAAGUGAUAAGAAAAUUAAAAUUGUCAUUUAGCGAUUUAAAUUUAAAGUAUGUUCCAAACGUCAGAUCAUAUUCGAGAAAUCUAAAUAUAGUUGCAAAAUGUUUGUACAGAUUAUGUGAAUCUUUAAAUAAUGUAGAACAAAAGUUAUUGUUAAACUGUGUUAAAUCUGAAAACUGUAAUUAUGAACAAAAACUGGACAACAAAGAUUAUCUUGAAUUACACAUGCUUUACUGGAUACAAAUUAACUAUAUAACAAUUUCAAAGGAUGAAACCUGUAAUAUGAAAAAUUUAUUGAAACAUUUGCAAACAUUAAAAAAUGGAUAUUUAAGAAUAAUUUGUAUGGACUUGGAGAAAUUUGAAAAUAGUCUACAUGUUGUUGACAAUCGCAGAACUUGUGGAACAAAUAAUGAAAAUUAUUUACAAUCAACUCUUCCAGAAGAAUUAUCUCAUAUUGAGAGACAUUAUUACGGAAAAAAGAUCAUUAAUAGUGGAUUGUGUAUCAUUAUAAAUCAGAUGAAUUUUAGAAAAGAAUAUGAAACGCGACAUGGAACAAAAGCAGAUAGUAAUCAUUUAUCUGAAACGUUUAAAACUUUUGGGUUCAAAACUGAAAUUCAUCAAGAUCUAAAGAAAAGUAAAAUGUUAGAAAAAAUUAGAAAUAUUUCAAAAGACUAUGGUAAUAAAUACGAUUGUUUAUUUCUUUGUAUUUUGAGUCAUGGAUAUAAAGGAGGUGUAAUAUCAUCAGAUGAGAAAGAAGUUUCUUUAGAAGCAAUUGAAAGGGCUAUUUGUUGUAUAGAAUUAAAAGAUGUUAUAAAAAUUGUUAUUAUUCAAGCCUGUCAAGGAAAGAUACGUGGAAGCAUAGGUAAUAAUUUCUUGACAACAGAUGAUUUAUCUGAUUCUUUUGCACCUGUAGAAGAUAUACGUCAGUUUGCUAACUUUUUUAUGUUUAUGUCAACAAUACAAGGUUUUUUAUCGAUACGUCAUAAAGAGGAAGGUUGAGUAUUGGGAUAAUAUUGCUAACGUAAUUAAUGCAGCUGCAGAAAGACCCCGAAAAAACGGGAAGGAAUGGGCAAAUAUAUGGAAAAAUAUAAAAGCUUAUAUAUUAAAAAAGGAAUCAAAAAGACGCAGCCAUACGCAAGGAACAGGAGGUGGCUCUCCUUCUAAAAUAGUUUUGUCUAACUUCGAAGAAGAAGUUUUGGAACUUUUAACGCCUGAAGCAGCAGGCUUAUUAAAUAUUCCUGAAGGAGGUCUAAACAUUGAAGCUGCAGGCUUAUUAAAUAUUCCUGAAGGUGGUCUAAACAUUGAAGCAGCUUGUUUACAAAAUCCUGAAGGUGAUAGAAAUGUUGAGGAUGAAGAAUCUUGUUUACUAUGUAUUCCUGAAACCGAAUUAAAUAUUGAACCACAAGUAUUACAUACAGAAAAUAAUAUAGAAAAUAUAUCCCCGAAUAUAUUAUAACAUGGAAAGAAAAGUUAUACGAAACAAGCAAAAA